rnacentral:rRNA from 1 species
GCAAGCCUGAUCCAGCCAUUCCGCGUGAGUGAAGAAGGCCUUCGGGUUGUAAAGCUCUUUCGCAAGGGAAGAAAAAUUACGCUCUAACAUAGCGUGAUGAUGACGGUACCUUGAUAAGAAGCACCGGCUAACUACGUGCCAGCAGCCGCGGUAAUACGUAGGGUGCGAGCGUUAAUCGGAAUUACUGGGCGUAAAGCGUGCGCAGGCUGUUUUGUAAGUCAGAUGUAAAAUCCCCGAGCUCAACUUGGGAACUGCGUUUGAAACUACAAGACUAGAAUAUGUCAGAGGGGGGUAGAAUUCCACGUGUAGCAGUGAAAUGCGUAGAGAUGUGGAGGAAUAUCAAUGGCGAAGGCAGCCCCCUGGGAUAAUAUUGACGCUCAUGCACGAAAGCGUGGGGAGCAAACAGGAUUAGAUACCCUGGUAGUCCACGCCCUAAACGAUGUCAACUAGUUGUUGGUAGAGUAAAAUCUAUGAGUAACGCAGCUAACGCGU